rnacentral:snRNA from 1 species
CAAAUGAGAACUUUGAAGGCCG